GUUUUGUAUGAAGGACCCCCUGCAGGCAAACUCAACAAACUGUUCCAUAUAAUAAUCAUGCUACCCAUUAUACUCUGACUCGUCUAGAUGUGUGGGGGGAAAGACUAUAGUAAAGCUAUAAUCACUGCCCUACAGGAGAGGGCCUUCAGCGCUAUAUUCACAGCUGCCUGGUCUGGUGGAAGAGGACCUACGAGCCCCCAGUCAAGCUGUGGAUCUAUUAUCAGAGAACCUUACCUGUGCAAAUACACUUUGGGCUCAUUUGUUGACCCCACUCAAGUUUAUUACAUGAAGACAUAUAUAUUGGUUACAUAGUAGGAUUAUGUAUGAAUGUGGGUAUGCUGCAAAAGCUGCCAUUUUGUGAUGAAAAGUACAGGUACUCUACUUACCGACCAGGUUCCGUUCUUGAAUUUGCAGCUCUAUGAGGAAAAAUAAUCAGUGUCUCCCUGCAGAGGGUGUAGAUACUGAAUGUCA